GACCGGAUAGCCUAGCGGUUGAGCCGCUGGGCCAGCAACCGAAAGGUUUCUGAUUCAAAUCCUGGUGCAGACA